rnacentral:lncRNA from 1 species
UGCCUUUAUUAUAUGUAAAUUAUACUUUUUUUUCUUUUUUGGCAGCUCCACAGUAUACGAAGUUCCCAGACCAGGGAUCAGAUCCGAGCUGCUGUUGCGAUCUACAGCUCAGCUGCGGCAAUGCUGGAUCCUUUAAUCCACUGUGCUGGGCCAGGGAUCGAAGCUGUGACCUGGCACUGCAGAGACACCGCUGAUCCCACUGUGCCCACAAUGGGAACUCCAUAAAUUAUACUUCAAAAGUUUUGGUUGUUUUUAAUCCAGGUCGUCAGUGCACUUGCCCCCACCACUCAGGUGACAUCCAGUCAUGCUGUUACAGAUGCGUCUCCUUGUGACCUGCAAGGGUUAUUCCUACCCCCAGUGGGUAUCAGAAUGUCAUCUGGGGAAGUUCCCGUUGUGGCCCAGCAGUAAUGAGCCCAACUAGUAUACAUGAGGAUGCAGGUUCCAUCCCUGGCCUCGCUCAGUGGGCCAGAACCUCAUGGAUACUAGUCCAGCUCAUUACCGCUGAGCCACAAUGGGAACUCCAGGAUGACUUUUGUAUAGACUGACUUUAAGCUUUACAAAAUGCUGAAUUAUUACACGUUCCUCAUCGGGAGAGGGCAGUCAGGAAAGCUCACCAGGGGCCAACAUUGUUUUUCACCACCGUGACCUUCCUGGAAUUGAAUUCCAACACCACAGACCACAGCCUAACCGGGCAGGAUGCUGGGAGGCCUCCCCAGAGUGGACCCCCCACACUCAUGGCCUCUGCCUGCCAUUUUAUCUAUAGAAAAACUUUAAUCAAAGAGGUAAUUUAAUCACAGAAGUGAGAAAAUACAGAGAAAGAAGAAAACCGUAAAUUUAGCCAUUCGACAGGUCAAAGACCUUCAGUUCUUCAAAGGCUAUAGAUAACAUUCUGAGCCAUGUCCUUGGGGCUGUUUUGCAGGUGCUGAAGCCCCCACCAGGUGGAAGAAGCCAACUGUAUGCUGCCCGCAAGCACGCAGACCCCAGACUGGCUGGAACCAAAGGUUGAUGACGCUGACUCCCAAUUACUUCAUCAGCAACCAAUCAGAAAAAUGUCCAUGAGUUGAUCACAUCCUGCUCCUCAAACACUCCUCAAAGACGCCUCACUACUCCCUCUGAGGGGCGCACAGUCCUGGAAGCACUAGCCCACUGUGUUCCCCCUUUGCCCAGCAAUUAAAGCGACUUUUUCUGUUUGCUCCAACUCUGACUCUGCAUUUCUAUUUGGCAUCGAUGUACAGAGGCAGCCGACAUUUCGGCAACAAUAGUGCUUUGCGGGGACGUAUGAGUGGGCUCAGGGUGGAUCUAGGUACUUGCUAAGAGUCCAACCUGUGUCAGGGGGGAGGGAGGGAUGGAGUGGUGGUUGGGGAUGGCAUUUGCCCAGAGGUAAACGGAAUGACUGGCCAACAAGGACCUGCUGUAUAACAGUAGAGAACUCUACACAAUAGUCUGUGAUCAUCUAUGUGGGAAAAGAAUCUGAAAGAUAAAGUACAGUCUGUGUAAAAACUGUCACUCAAAUCUGAUGCUCCUGACCACCCAGCUGGUGGCUCACCUCCUUCCCAGGUUUGAGGGCCCAUGACGCCUGUCUCCUCUAGUGGUUCCCUAUGCACCACAUUAGAACCACCUGGGCUGGAGCUUUUCAAACUGCAGACUCCCACGUCCCACUCCUGGAGAGCUGGUCCAAUAGUUUCAGGAGAGGGUCUCGUGGUCACCGAAUAGAGGCACCUCAGCCCUUGUGCCCCCAACAUUCAACCCUAGAAGAUGACUGACCGGAAGCUGUCAGCACCAGGUCCUAAAAAGCAGGGCUGAGAACGGGACAGGGGCACCCAGCCUGCACGGCAGCACCGAGGCCAAGAGAAAGCAGCGCUGCCUGCAGGCUGUGCUGGUGCUGAUGACAAGGCCAGAGCAUGGAGCUGGGGGCCUGGGACUCUCCACAUUCAAGGCCCAAGUGGGAGGCUCAACGGGGGCCGGGGGGGCGCACAGUGUGGCAGAACGUCAGCACCACGUGUGGAUUCACAGGGAAAGUGCAUCCCUGGGCUGCCAGGACAACACUGCCCCACCUGGUUUCUCCCCACACAGAGACUCCCCUCCACCGUCUCACUGAGCCCCUGGCUUCAGAAGGAAGAUGCUGCAAUGCCAUGGAAAUUGCACUUACCAACAUCCGAAAACUCGUGUAGAGCUUGAGAGGACUCGUUCUAUGGAACUACUUGGGGACAAAGUCUUAUGAGUUGCUAGGCCACCAGGCCCCGCUGGC